rnacentral:lncRNA from 1 species
UGCACAGUAGUAAUUUGCACCACUAAAUGCCAAACCCCAUACAGUAACUCACAGAAAAGCUAAUGCCUGUGCUUCCCCUCUCUGUCUCUCCUCCACGCCUCCACCACUGUUUCUGCUUGCUGAUGUUGGAGAAGAUGAUCAGGGUUGUUGGUGUCGGUUGGUGGCAUCCAUUUCUGCUGCCUUUUUUUUUUUGUUCAGCCACUUGGCAUUGUGAUCUCCACAGCUGCUCUACAGAUUCCAGAGCUUGCCUGCACCAUUGUCUUCAUUAUGGGUGAGGGUGACAUCCACUUCUGAAACCAAAGCUCUUUCUAGCCUUGCAGGGUGUCUGAGGAGAAGAUAAACACGCUACACAGAAAUCAAUACACAAAGCAUGGUGAUCGGGGAUCACGAUCACGAUGAGAUGAGAUGAAAUACAGGAGGCAGCCUACUAGCUCAGAUUCCACGGUGAGCCAAGGUUCCAUUCCAUCAAUCCCAUGUACGUACUCCCUCUGCAAACUAAUAUAAGAUCAUUUAGAUCGCUACUUUAGUGAUCUAAACGAUCUUAUAUUAGUUUACAGAGGGAGUACUACUUUAUUUACUUAAGUCCAGCUUCAGACAAACCCCCAAGCUUGCUGUCUGUGUGGUGAGCAAGCUGUUUCUUUUCUCACACAAACCCCGGGACUAACAGCAGGUUGACAGAUCUAUUUGUAGCCUCUUAGUAGGUUUUUGCUAUAUGUCAUGACUCAUGACCUAAUCUUUGUUCGCAAUUUGAUGCCUGUCUGCCUGCAGUCAUGAAUUUCUUCAGCAAUCCUCAAAUGAGCUCAUGGUCUGCGUGUGUGCUACAGUGAAAUUAUAUGAUUCAGCAUGUGUAUCAACUCGGACACUUGGUAAACAGAUAUCAACUUGGUGAACGGAUGGAUACGGAAAACUUAUGAUUGAUGCUGGCUUGAUAGGUGCUGUUUGAUCCUCCCCCCUACACAGUCGGUGUCACAACGAACAUUGGAAGUUCAGACGGGAAGUUCACAACUUUUGACUUCGAGUCGCACGCGACCAAGUCAAGACCAAUAAUUCGGGUUAAAAAUAUCAUAAGGGAAAAAUUUAGGGUUGUCUACCUUCUGAACUGAAAGACUAAUACAGUUGUACUUAGCUUAGCACAUUCGAUGAUUCGAUGCUGCACUGUCUUAUUCCUUGUUUCUGUUUUGUGACUGCAGAAUUCAGCAGGGUGAAUUUCCGUUCCGUUUUGAAAACCGAGCAUUCAAAUUUCCGUUUUGCUCAGGUCACCUUGAUAUAUCUAAAUCAUCGUUGGAACUUAGGUUUGCACUGGUAAAAUUAGUAAGCUGUAACUCUAGUAUGCAAAGCUGUUAGGUGCAUGAGGGUGUGCUGUCAAAUUUCUUUUAUAUCUGAAAGGGACCUAUGAGCAAUUGGUGGAAGUACUUGUGUAGGGCUAUAACCCACAGAGCACCAUCUCUACACAUUACUACUACUGCACAGUAGUAAUUUGCACCACUAAAUGCCAAACCCCACACAUAACUCAAGUAAAAGCCAAUGCCUGUGCUUCCUCUCUCUGCCUCUCCUCCACCCCUCCAUCACUGUUUCUACUUGCUGAUGUUGGAGAAGAUGAUUAGGGUUGUUGGUGU